rnacentral:SRP_RNA from 1 species
GCCGGGCGCGGUGGCGCGUGUCUGUAGUCCCAGGUAUUCGGGAGGCUGAGGCUGGAGGAUCUCUGGAGUCCAGGAGUUCUGGGCUGUAAUGAGCUAUGCCGAUCGGGUGUCCGCACUAAGUUCGGCAUCAAUAUGGUGACCUCCCGGGAGCGGGGGACCACCAGGUUGUCUAAGGAGGGGUGAACCGGCCCAGGUCAGAAACGGAGCAGGUCAAAACUCCUGUGCUGAUCAGUAGUGGGAUGGCGCCUGUGAAUAGCCACUGCACUCCAGCCUGCGCAACAUAGCGAGACCCUGUCUCU